UACGUAGGGGGCUAGCGUUGUCCGGAAUCAUUGGGCGUAAAGCGCGUGUAGGCGGUCCGGUAAGUCCGCUGUGAAAGUCGGGGGCUCAACCCUCGGAUGCCGGUGGAUACUGUCGGGCUCGAGUACGGAAGAGGCGAGUGGAAUUCCUGGUGUAGCGGUGAAAUGCGCAGAUAUCAGGAGGAACACCAAUUGCGAAGGCAGCUCGCUGGGACGUUACUGACGCUGAGACGCGAAAGCGUGGGGAGCAAACGGG
rnacentral:rRNA from 1 species